UACGUAGGGGGCAAGCGUUAUCCGGAUUUACUGGGUGUAAAGGGAGCGUAGACGGCAGCGCAAGUCUGGAGUGAAAUCCCAUGGCUUAACCAUGGAACUGCUUUGGAAACUGUGCAGCUGGAGUGCAGGAGAGGUAAGCGGAAUUCCUAGUGUAGCGGUGAAAUGCGUAGAUAUUAGGAAGAACACCGGUGGCGAAGGCGGCUUUCUGGACAGAAACUGACAUUGAGGCACGAAAGUGUGGGGAGCAAACAGG
rnacentral:rRNA from 1 species